AGGUUGCAGGAGCGGUCUGGCUGUGACACUGUGUCACCCCCUUUGUCAUCAGUGUCGAUGUGGCUGAUCUGUCUGGAUAGGUGGGUUAUCUGUUUCCUCCCUCACCAUUCUACUCAGAGCCUUCUGAAGCUUCCUGGUGAGUGGAAGAGGACAAACUUCCCAGAUAGAGGAGGGCCUUUCUCUGGACAAUGGUAUGUGGGAAGCCCCUGCAAGACCUCCAAAUUAGCUCUUGGGGCUGCUUAAAUCAAGACACAAAACCCUUAAGGCUCUAAAGAACAUGAAGAAUUUGUAAUGGUAGAAUUCCAGACACCAUGAGACAGUAGGAGAGAGGUUUUCGCCUUUCAAA
ensembl:misc_RNA 7SK 7SK RNA